rnacentral:misc_RNA from 1 species
UUUUGAUGUUGAAAACUGGAAAUUUUCAUUCAUGAUUAGCAGUUCAUUACAAAAGGAUAAGCUAAGAGCAAGCUAAUUGAACUAAUUUUACAUCCACAAAAUACUAAUUUCAAACUUUAACAGUAGUACACAGAACCUAAAAAAUUUUAAGAGCUAGUGAAUUUGGUAACAGCCUUAGUUCCUUCAGAAACAGCAUGUUUAGCUAAUUCACCAGGAAGAACAAGACGAACGGCAGUUUGAAUUUCACGAGAAGUGAUGGUAGGCUUUUUGUUGUAACGAGCAAGACGAGAGGAUUCCUGUGCAAGUUUCUCGAAGAUAUCGUUGAUGAAACUGUUCAUUAUACCCAUAGCUUUGCUAGAAAUACCGAUAUCUGGAUGUACCUGCUUCAGC